rnacentral:rRNA from 1 species
GCGUGUGUGAAGAAGGCCUUGGGAGUAAAGCACAUACGCGAGAGGACGCAUAAUUAUCACAUACUCACUGGAUAAUGGAGACGUUACUCACACAAUUAAGCGCCAGGCUAACUCUGUGCCAGCAGCCGCGGUAAUACAGAGGGUGCGAGCGUAAUCGGAUUUACUGGGCGUAAAGCGUGCGUAGGCGGCUUUUAAGUCGGAUGUGAAAUCCCCGAGCUUAACUUGGGAAUUGCAUUCGAUACUGGGAAGCUAGAGUAUGGGAGAGGAUGGUAGAAUUCCAGGUGUAGCGGUGAAAUGCGUAGAGAUCUGGAGGAAUACCGAUGGCGAAGGCAGCCAUCUGGCCUAAUACUGACGCUGAGGUACGAAAGCAUGGGGAGCAAACAGGAUUAGAUACCCUGGUAGUCCAUGCCGUAAACGAUGUCUACUAGCCGUUGGGGCCUUUGAGGCUUUAGUGGCGCAGCUAACGCGAUAAGUAGACCGCCUGGGGAGUACGGUCGCAAGACUAAAACUCAAAUGAAUUGACGGGGGGCCGCACAAGCGGUGGAGCAUGUGGUUUAAUUCGAUGGCACGCG